CUACGGGGGGCUCCAGUGGGGAAUAUUGCACAAUGGGCGCAAGCCUGAUGCAGCCAUGCCGCGUGUAUGAAGAAGGCCUUCGGGUUGUAAGGUACUUUCAGCGGGGAGGAAGGGAGUAAAGUUAAUACCUUUGCUCAUUGACGUUACCCGCAGAAGAAGCACCGGCUAACUCCGUGCCAGCAGCCGCGGUAAUACGGAGGGUGCAAGCGUUAAUCGGAAUUACUGGGCGUAAAGCGCACGCAGGCGGUUUGUUAAGUCAGAUGUGAAAUCCCCGGGCUCAACCUGGGAACUGCAUCUGAUACUGGCAAGCUUGAGUCUCGUAGAGGGGGGUAGAAUUCCAGGUGUAGCGGUGAAAUGCGUAGAGAUCUGGAGGAAUACCGGUGGCGAAGGCGGCCCCCUGGACGAAGACUGACGCUCAGGUGCGAAAGCGUGGGGAGCAAACAGGAUUAGAUACCCGCGUAGUC
rnacentral:rRNA from 1 species